AUGGUGCUCCAAUGUAGAGGAGAGUUCGCCGCCGAAAGAGAAUGGUGCCUGCAGACACGUUAGCACUCCAACACUCAAGUCGGUAUGUGAAAGAGGUGGAUUGUGUGUGAAAACUGGGUGAAUAAAAGUGUAUCUUGAGCGUGAUGCUGAGUCAUGCUUAUAUAGCCAUGGAGGUCGAUAACUACCUCAUAAUUUCGUGGCGUGAAUCCUGGAGGUUGUAAGAGAUGUCUCUGCGGCAUACACACAUGACUUUGGGUGCACCAUCAUAGUGCUUUCUCCUGAGGAAUAUGAGCCUUAACUUUUUGGGGCCAUUCACCUUAGGUUUUAUGUCGGUCCGGAACAAGCAUUGAAUGUAAAUGUAAAUGUGUUUUUAAAAUAAUUCAUAUGCAUUAUCGAACUAUGCUUUAGGUAGAUUAAAGUUUCAAGAGUUUAAAAAAAG
rnacentral:lncRNA from 1 species